rnacentral:rRNA from 1 species
CCCUUAGAUGUCCGGGGCCGCACGCGCGCUACACUGAAGGAAUCAGCGUGGCUUUCUCCCUGACCCGAAAGGGUUGGGAAACCCGUUGAAUCUCCUUCGUGAUAGGGAUUGGGGCUUGAAAUUGUUCCCCAUGAACGAGGAAUUCCUAGUAAACGCGAGUCAUCAGCUCGCAUUGAUUACGUCCCUGCCCUUUGUACACACCGCCCGUCGCACCUACCGAUUGAAUGGUUCGGUGAAGAUCUCGGACUUCGAUAUUUAUUCUUUAUUGAGUUUAUAUUGUGGGAAGUUAUCUAAACCUCAUCAUUUAGAGGAAGGUGAAGUCGUAACA